rnacentral:rRNA from 1 species
GCAAGCUUACGCUUGAAUACAUUAGCAUGGAAUAAUGAAAUAGGACAUCAGAUUCUAUUUUGUUGGUUUCUAGGAUCGAUGUAAUGAUUAAUAGGGAUAGUUGGGGGCAUUAGUAUUCAAUUGUCAGAGGUGAAAUUCUUGGAUUUAUUGAAGACUAACUACUGCGAAAGCAUUUGCCAAGGAUGUUUUCAUUAAUCAAGAACGAAAGUUAGGGGAUCGAAGACGAUCAGAUACCGUCGUAGUCUUAACCAUAAACUAUGCCGACUAGGGAUCGGAUGAUGUUAAUUUUUUAAUGACUCAUUCGGCACCUUACGGGAAACCAAAGUGUUUGGGUUCCGGGGGGAGUAUGGUCGCAAGGCUGAAACUUAAAGGAAUUGACGGAAGGGCACCACCAGGGGUGGAGCCUGCG